rnacentral:rRNA from 1 species
UACGUAGGGGGCAAGCGUUGUCCGGAAUUAUUGGGCGUAAAGAGCGUGUAGGCGGUCCGGUAAGUCAGCUGUGAAAGUCAAGGGCUCAACCCUUGAAUGCCGGUUGAUACUGUCGGGCUAGAGUCCGGAAGAGGCGACUGGAAUUCCUGGUGUAGCGGUGAAAUGCGCAGAUAUCAGGAGGAACACCGAUGGCGAAGGCAGGUCUCUGGGCCACUACUGACGCUGAGAAGCGAAAGCAUGGGGAGCGAACAGG